rnacentral:rRNA from 1 species
AUUGAACGCUGGCGGCAUGCUUUACACAUGCAAGUCGAACGGUAACAGGCCGCAAGGUGCUGACGAGUGGCGAACGGGUGAGUAAUGCAUCGAAACGUGCCCAGUAGUGGGGGAUAGCCCGGCGAAAGCCGGAUUAAUACCGCAUACGACCUGAGGGUGAAAGGGGGGGAUCGCAAGACCUCUCGCUAUUGGAGCGGCCGAUGUCAGAUUAGCUAGUUGGUGGGGUAAAGGCCUACCAAGGCAACGAUCUGUAGUUGGUCUGAGAGGACGACCAGCCACACUGGAAUGGAGACACGGCCCAGACUCCUACGGGAGGCAGCAGUGGGGAAGUUUGGACAAUGGGCGCAAGCCUGAUCCAGCAAUGCCGCGUGCAGGAAGAAUGCCUUCGGGUUGUAAACUGCUUUUGUCAGGGAAGAAAUCUUCUGGGUUAAUACCUCGGGAGGAUGACGGUACCUGAAGAAUAAGCACCGGCUAACUACGUGCCAGCAGCCGCCGUAAUAC